GCAUUGAUUCUUCAAUGGUAGAAUUCUCGCCUUCCAUGCAGGAUUCCUGGGUUCGGUUCCCAACCAAUGCA
rnacentral:tRNA from 1 species